rnacentral:misc_RNA from 1 species
ACACCUCAACUCUCAUGGCUUGCCAUGAUGAGCUUGGACCUUGGGGGUCUUGCUGGCACGUGCAGGUCAGCUCCUCUCAAAUGAAUCAGCUUGCCGGUGUUUGGUGGCGUCACAGGUGUGAUAAACAUCUACGCUUGUGGCUUUCCGCCAGGUAACCUUCAGCAAUGGAGGUUCACUGGAGCUCAUAAACGUCUCUCCUCGGUGAGGACAGAUUUUGACC